GCUCUACUGUGAUGUUACAUUGCUCCAAUGUGAUAUCACUGUUCUCCACAGUACUGUCACAGUGCUCCACUGUGGUAUCACAGUGCUGCAUUGUGGUAUCUCAGUG
rnacentral:miRNA from 1 species